rnacentral:rRNA from 1 species
CAUGGCUCAGGAUGAACGCUAGCUAUAGGCUUAACACAUGCAAGUCGAGGGGAAACGGCAUUAUGUGCUUGCACAUUUUGGACGUCGACCGGCGCACGGGUGAGUAUCGCGUAUCCAACCUGCCCUUUACUUGGGGAUACCCCGUUGAAAGACGGCCUAAUACCCGAUGUAAUUCAUUGAUGGCAUCAGAUAUGAAUAAAAGAUUUAUCGGUAAAGGAUGGGGAUGCGUCUGAUUAGCUUGUUGGUGAGGUAAAGGCUCACCAAGGCGACGAUCAGUAGGGGUUCUGAGAGGAAGGUCCCCCACAUUGGAACUGAGACACGGUCCAAACUCCUACGG